rnacentral:rRNA from 1 species
AUACGUAGGGGGCAAGCGUUGUCCGGAAUUAUGGGGCGUAAAGAGCUCGUAGGCGGUUCGGUAAGUCGGGUGUGAAAAUCCAGGGCUCAACCCUGGGACGCCACUCGAUACUGCUGUGACUAGAGUCCGGUAGAGGAGCGUGGAAUUCCUGGUGUAGCGGUGAAAUGCGCAGAUAUCAGGAGGAACACCAGCGGCGAAGGCGGCGCUCUGGGCCGGUACUGACGCUGAGGAGCGAAAGCGUGGGGAGCAAACAGGAUUAGAAACCCCGGUAGUCC